rnacentral:misc_RNA from 1 species
UUAAGUUCAGCGGGUAGUCCUACCUGAUCCGAGGUCAACAUAUGGCGGUCCCUCCCUCGCCGCGAGGCACGGGGGUCCCUAUGUCGGGGGUUUUACGGCAGGCCCAGCUGCUUCUCCCAGGGCAUCUAACGGUGAAGUUACUGUACCCGGGGCCCGCAGCCGGACCGCGCACUUCUGCUUGGGGGCCUAGAGGGGGCUUC